CCCCAGUGUGUUAUAUAUAGAUAAAGUCAAUGAACUUUAAGCACGUGUAACUGUUAUAAUGUCAAUCAAGAUAAGAUAGGCGGAGUCUCUAUAAACGUAAACAUUGACCAGAUGAUAUAGCAAUAUCAUUACAACCCCCUCUUGAGACAAGCAAUUAAUUUAACACAGUUCAUUAAGUCACAUUGAAAGUCUAGCCAGUUUGUG
rnacentral:lncRNA from 1 species